AUCCUUUUGUGGUUCGUGGACGUGGUGACUGGUAGUCUAUGCUGUUACUGUGUGAGAUGUACUUCCCUCAAACCUUAUAUGGCACUGGCACAUUACGUGUCUGAUG